AUGAUUAAAGACCUGCAGAAAAAUCUACAAAUAGAGCACAUCUAUUUGUAGAUUUUUCUGCAGGUCUUUAAUGGUUGAUCUUUCAGAAACAGAGUCCAGCUGCUAACAGGUGGAAGUUCAGAGCGGUGAAGCCAGUGACAGAGCCAACACACAGAAUGGUUUGGGCUUCGUGAAAGGAAGAAGUGACACUUGGACAUGCAUGUGCCGUGCGUGUUUGUAUUCAGAACCUGGACUCAGCUCUCCCGCUGCCACCCAGUCUCUACUCACAUCCAGGGACGGUUCUGGAACGUCCGCUGGCCCGCCCAGCCCAAAGGAGCUGUCGCCUUGGAGACGGGAGUUCUGGUUGCUGCGCUGC